AGACGCUUCACUACCUUCUCAAAGACUUUUGACUUUCACUACGCAGAUCUGCAACGGUUCGUGGUAGGAAUGGCGGAUCCUAGCAGCGACGAGAAGAUGGUUGCGCCGCCACCUCCUGGCUACGAGAGGAUGAAACAGCACGAUGAGCUUCUGGAGGAUCUUCAAGCCAAUGCCGCUGAGCUGCAGAAGGUGAAGAGAGACGUGCAAGACCAACGAGUCGGAAGACUCACGGCGCUGCAAGAGGCUAUAAAAUAUAAGCACCUGUAUGAGCAAUCGUUACAGCAGGAGAUUGCCUAGUCGCAAGAGACCAAGAAAUACAUGGAGAUGUGUAACAAAUUUUUAUACCAAUAAAAAGCCCACUUGAAAGAAGCAAUAAUGGAAAGUAAAGCAAUAAUGGAAAGUAAGGCCCAGGAGUUGGAAGACCUACUGGCGAUCAAGAAAUACAUGGACAUUUGUGACCCAUUGUUAUAGCGGGAAAAUGCCCGGUUGAAAGAAGAAAAAGCCCAGAUGGAGGAAGUAAUGAGUCGUGCCCAGGGAGCUAUGGAAGGAGAAUCAACGACUGCAGAUGGAAAUUGACGAUAAGUUCUUAUCGUUAUGAUUACAAAUAGGUAGUUAUGAUUAUUGUGAAACUUGUAAUGAUGAAUGGUCAUGACAUGGCAUUUUAAGAAACUUGUUGCUGCUGAUAUUCACUGCUUAUUGCUUCUGUGCACUUUAUAGUGAUGAAUGGCCAUGACAUGCCAUCUUAUGAAACUUGUUGCUGCUGACGUUUAUUUCUUGUUA